GUCGGUUUCUUCAUUUUCAAAAUGUUCUUAUAACUAGUUCCAAAGACACUUUCGUGAAAUUUUGGGAUCUUGAUUCACAGCAUUGUUUUCUCACCUUGGUUGGUCAUAAAACAGAGGUUUGGGGCUUUGUCGUCGUCAAGAAUGAAACAAGGUUAAUUACUAGUUGUGCUGAUAGUGAAUUGAGAGUUUGGAAAAUUGAGGACAAAGAUGAUAGAACAGAAAAA